UGCCACAGCCAUAUCACCCAAGACAUGUUACUCGCUGAAGCUAAGCAAGACUGAGCCUUGUCAGUAUCUGGAUGGGAGACCACAUGGGAAAACGAGGUUGCUGUUGGAA
rnacentral:rRNA from 1 species